CCUACGGGCGGCAGCAGUGAGGAAUAUUGGUCAAUGGACGAGAGACUGAACCAGCCAAGGAGCGUGAAGGAUGACUGUACUGUGUAUUGUAAACUUCUUUUAUCUGGGAAUAAAACAUGGUAUGCAUACCCUCUUGUAUGUACCAUAUGAAUAAGGAUCGGCUAACUCCGUGCCAGCAGCCGCGGUAAUACGGAGGGUCCGAGCGUUAUCCGGAUUUGUUGGGUUUAAAGGGUGCGUAGGUGGUUUGUUAAGUCCGUUGUGAAAGUUUGAGGCUCAAACGUGAAAUGGCAGUUGAAACGGGCAGUAUUGAGUACAGUAGAGGUGUGCGGAAUGCGUGGUGUAGCGGUGAAAUGCUUAGAUAUCACGAAGAACUCCGAUUGCGAAGGCAGCUCACCGGAAUGAAACUGACACUGAUGCUCGAAAGUGUGGGUAUCAAACAGGAUUAGAUACCCUAGUAGUC
rnacentral:rRNA from 1 species